UACGUAGGGGGCAAGCGUUAUCCGGAAUUACUGGGUGUAAAGGGAGCGUAGACGGUAAUGUAAGUCUGGAGUGAAAGGCGGGGGCCCAACCCCCGGACUGCUCUGGAAACUAUGUUACUAGAGUGCGGAGAGGUAAGCGGAAUUCCUAGUGUAGCGGUGAAAUGCGUAGAUAUUAGGAGGAACACCAGUGGCGAAGGCGGCUUACUGGACUGUAACUGACGUUGAGGCUCGAAAGCGUGGGGAGCAAACAGG
rnacentral:rRNA from 1 species